GACGAACGCUGGCGGCGUGCUUAACACAUGCAAGUCGAACGAAGUGUCGAACGGGUGAGUAACGCGUAAUCAACCUGCCCUUCAGUGGGGGACAACAGUUGGAAACGACUGCUAAUACCGCAUCCUGAAGGCGGGGAUUGCGUCUGAUUAGCUAGUUGGAGGGGUAACGGCCCACCAAGGCGCUGAGCAGUAGCCGGUCUGAGAGGAUGAACGGCCACAUUGGGACUGAGACACGGCCCAGACUCCGACGGGAGGCAGCAGUAGGGAAUCUUCCGCAAUGGACGAAAGCCUGACAGAGCAACGCCGCGUGAGUGAUGAAGGUCUUCGGAUCGUAAAACUCUGUUAUUAGGGAAGCGGUACCUAAUCAGAAAGCCACGGCUAACUACGUGCCAGCAGGCGCGGUAAUUC
rnacentral:rRNA from 1 species